UACAGAGGGGGCAAGCGUUGUUCGGAAUUACUGGGCGUAAAGGGCGCGUAGGCGGCCCGCUAAGUCGAACGUGAAAUCCCCGAGCUCAACUCGGGAACUGCGUCCGAUACUGGCGGGCUUGAAUCCGGGAGAGGGAUGCGGAAUUCCAGGUGUAGCGGUGAAAUGCGUAGAUAUCGGGAGGAACACCAGUGGCGAAGGCGGCGACCUGGGCCAAUACUGACGCUGAGGUGCGAAAGCGUGGGGAGCAAACAGG
rnacentral:rRNA from 1 species